rnacentral:rRNA from 1 species
CGGAUUGUAGUCUGCAACCCGACUACAUGAAGCUGGAAUCGCUAGUAAUCGCGGAUCAGAAUGCCGCGGUGAAUACGUUCCCGGGUCUUGUACACACCGCCCGUCACACCAUGGGAGUCGGAAAUGCCCGAAGUCGGUGACCUAACUGAAAGGAAGGAGCCGCCGAAGGCAGGUCUGGUGACUGGGGUGAAGUCGUAACAAGGUAUC